rnacentral:rRNA from 1 species
GACGAACGCUGGCGGCGUGCCUAAUACAUGCAAGUCGAGCGCAGGAAACUGACGGAACUCUUCGGAGGGAAGGCAGUGGAAUGAGCGGCGGACGGGUGAGUAACACGUAAGGAACCUGCCUCAAGGAUUGGGAUAACUCCGAGAAAUCGGAGCUAAUACCGGAUAGUUCAACGGACCGCAUGGUCCGCUGAUGAAAGGCGCUCCGGCGUCACCUUGAGAUGGCCUUGCGGUGCAUUAGCUAGUUGGUGGGGUAACGGCCCACCAAGGCGACGGUGCAUAGCCGACCUGAGAGGGUGAGCGGCCACACUGGGACUGAGACACGGCCCAGACUCCUACGGGAGGCAGCAGUAGGGAAUCUUCCACAAUGGACGAAAGUCUGAUGGAGCAACGCCGCGUGAGUGAUGAAGGUUUUCGGAUCGUAAAACUCUGUUGUAAGGGAAGAACACGUACGAGAGGGAAUGCUCGUACUUUGACGGUACCUUACGAGAAAGCCACGGCUAACUACGUGCCAGCCGCCGCCGUAAAAC